UACGGAGGGUGCAAGCGUUGCUCGGAAUUAUUGGGCGUAAAGGGUAGGUAGGUGGUCUCAUUUGUCUGGGGUGAAAGCCUUGAGCUUAACUCGAGAAGUGCCCCAGAAACGGUGAGACUGGAGUCCUGGAGAGGGUCGUGGAAUUCCCGGGUGUAGCGGUGAAAUGCGUAGAGAUCGGGAGGAACACCAGAGGCGAAAGCGGCGACCUGGACAGGCACUGACACUCAACUACGAAAGCGUGGGGAGCAAACAGG
rnacentral:rRNA from 1 species